AUGGCCUCUCCUAAGGUCGCGCUCGCCGCCAUGGCCGUCGUCGUCGCCGUGGCCGCCUUGCUCCCGGCGACGGCUUCGGCGGCGUCGUACACAGUCGGCGACGACUCCGGGUGGGACAUCGGGAUCGACUACCGCGCCUGGGCCAGCGGCAAGAAGUUCAGAGUCGGCGACACCCUCGAGUUUCUCUACUCGUUGGGUGAGGCCGAGCACAACGUGGUGUUGGUGGACGCGCAGAGCUUCGCGGCGUGCACCGUGCCGAGCAACGCGCCGACGCGGACCACCGGCGACGACACGGUGUCGCUGACGCAGGCCGGGCAGUGGUUCUUCAUCUGCGGCAUUGAGGGCCACUGCCAGGACGGCAUGAAGCUCGCCGUCAACGUCCACUGA
rnacentral:rRNA from 1 species